rnacentral:rRNA from 1 species
GACGAACGCUGGCGGCGUGCCUAAUACAUGCAAGUUGAGCGCUGAAGGUUGGUACUUGUACCAACUGGGUGAGCAGCGAACGGGUGAGUAACGCGUGGGGAAUCUGCCUUUGAGCGGGGGACAACCUUUGGAAACGAAUGCUAAUACCGCAUAAAAACUUUCAACACAAGUUUUAAGUUUGAAAGAUGCAAUUGCAUCACUCAAAGAUGAUCCCGCGUUGUAUUAGCUAGUUGGUGAGGUACAGGCUCACCAAGGCGAUGAUACAUAGCCGACCUGAGAGGGUGAGCGGCCACACUGAGACUGAGACACGGCCCAAACUGCUACAGGAGGCAGCAGGAGGGAAUCGUCGGCAAGGGACGAAAGUCUGACCGAGAAACGCCGCGGGAGUGAAGAAGGUUGUCGGAUCGUAAAACACUGUUGGUAGAGAAGAACGUGGGUGAGAGUGGAAAGCUCAUCAAGUGACGGUAACGACCUAGAAAGGGACGGCUAACUACGUG